CUGAGACAUGGAAGUGCUUAAUCCAUAUUUUGGCUUCUGAGAAUCCGGUUGGAGAUGAGUAGCUGGGAAACUUAGGACUGUCCCACUCCUGGGAGAAUGAAUGAGGUCAUGUUUGUAGAGGGCUUUGAGCUGAUGGGAGGAAAGCAACUUCCUAAAUGCAAGAUCCAACAAAGCUGAAAGAUGGAAUCUGAGGGCUCUCAGAACUCCCAAUAGGCCCAAGGCUCAGAGAGGAAACAAAA
rnacentral:lncRNA from 10 species